AAGUAAGUAACCAAGAAGAGGAAAGUGUUUGUUGCCACAAAAUCGAUCUGACAUGGAAGAUUUUGAUGAUGUAACGCUUGCCACCCUCAGAGCAGCUAAUAUCAGCGAGGAUACCCUGCACACACUAUCUAGAGAUGACAUUAGGGAUCUCUUUCCUGGUCCUGAGCACUUUCUUCGACGGAAAGAUAUAUGUCUCAAAAUCCACGCCGAGGACCAUGUGUAUAAAAUCAAAUGUCCUGUCAAAUCCAAAUCCAAAGCUCCACCUGCCAAUAAGCAACGCCAAGUUGGGGAUGCUGAUGAGAGUCU